GGUGGUAUACCUCAGUGGUAGAGUGCAUGCCUAGCAUGCAUGAGGUCCUGGAUUCAGUCCCCAGUACAUCCA
rnacentral:tRNA from 1 species